ACAACACAUCGUGAACAUGUGGUCGUAGCUAGUUCUUCUAGCAAUGAGGAUGACAUGUCCUUAGGUGUCGAUCAAGAAGAGGUACCUGCAUCAACUAGCGAUGCUGUCUCUUCCAGCGCGGUUCCAUAGCGUAGAGACAGUCUGUCUUCAGAAUGAGGUCAAUUCAUCAGUAAGUGCAAAGCACAUUAAAAGGACGACAUUCCAAUGCUACAUCCAAGCCCAAUGAAGUUGUUAGUAGAGACAUGUAUGGAGUGAAAACUGUCAAAGAGGGCUGCAACAGUUUGUUGACAACCAUGCUAAACACUUUUUGGAGACAAUAUAAUAACCAGUUUAGAAAAAAGAUAUGGGGCUGAUCCUUCGACCCACCUGGAUUUUGAUCCUGAUUUGUGAAUGGAGGCAGGAUCGUCAGGUGGACUUAAUAAAAAUUGGGUGUAUGGUCAAUGACCAGCCUCCUCCUCCUCC